rnacentral:rRNA from 1 species
CUGGAAUUCCUGGUGUAGCGGUGAAAUGCGCAGAUAUCAGGAGGAACACCGAUGGCGAAGGCAGGUCUCUGGGCAUUAACUGACGCUGAGGAGCGAAAGCAUGGGGAGCGAACAGGAUUAGAUACCCUGGUAGUCCAUGCCGUAAACGUUGGGCACUAGGUGUGGGGGACAUUCCACGUUUUCCGCGCCGUAGCUAACGCAUUAAGUGCCCCGCCUGGGGAGUACGGCCGCAAGGCUAAAACUCAAAGGAAUUGACGGGGGCCCGCACAAGCGGCGGAGCAUGCGGAUUAAUUCGAUGCAACGCGAAGAACCUUACCAAGGCUUGACAUGGGCCGGAUCGCCGCAGAAAUGUGGUUUCCCCUUUGGGGCCGGUUCACAGGUGGUGCAUGGUUGUCGUCAGCUCGUGUCGUGAGAUGUUGGGUUAAGUCCCGCAACGAGCGCAACCCUCGUUCUAUGUUGCCAGCGCGUUAUGGCGGGGACUCAUAGGAGACUGCCGGGGUCAACUCGGAGGAAGGUGGGGACGACGUCAAAUCAUCAUGCCCCUUAUGUCUUGGGCUUCACGCAUGCUACAAUGGCCGGUACAAAGGGUUGCGAUACUGUGAGGUGGAGCUAAUCCCAAAAAGCCGGUCUCAGUUCGGAUUGGGGUCUGCAACUCGACCCCAUGAAGUCGGAGUCGCUAGUAAUCGCAGAUCAGCAACGCUGCGGUGAAUACGUUCCCGGGCCUUGUACACACCGCCCGUCAAGUCACGAAAGUUGGUAACACCCGAAGCCGGUGGCCUAACCCCUUGUGGGAGGGAGCU